AGUGCAGGGUCACAGUAUAAGCCCACAAUGGCUAGUUAGUAUUUUGUCGCCUGUCCUCCAGUGGAUGUGGGUGUGCGAUAAUGUAUUCUUUGGACUUGGUUGGGUCUAAGAAUGUAUUCUGCUCGCUGGAGGGAUUAGUGUUCUUCAGUACAGCUGGGUAAAGUAUGCCGAACUUGGUGUCCAGAGCGUUGUUGGAGCCCCAUCACCUAGUUUAAAGCUGACCUCUUCUUCAUGACUGCCGUGGUGUAGUCCAGGUAAAUGUGAAUAUUCCGGCCACCCGUGGGUGAUGGGAGACACUCGUGCUUAAUUACUGAAGAUAUCCUCCUUCCCCUGAAGGUAGUGAAAUGUAUCUACUAUGGGUCUGGGUGGCUCCCCAUUCUUUGAUUCGGACUGUAUGCUUCUGUGCGCACGGUCACGAGUGGGGGCGUAAACGAGGCCUAGAAUUUCCUGUACCUGUUUAGCUAUGGACAGGGUAGGCCGCAUUCCGCCUACGGUCUUGAGUCCCUCUCUCAUUCAGAAAAUGCAACCGUUCCCCGGCGCUGUCUGUUCUCGAGGUCCUCAACCUUGGAAGUGAGUUUGACGACAUCUGAUGAUAGCCGGGUGACUUGCUCUUCCAGUGUCACCACUUUGUCGGAGUAAAUAUUUGCGCCAUCUUCCAGGCUAUUCAGAUGGGUGUCAUGUCUCGCCAAGUCUUCGUUAACGGAGUCAAUGUUUAUGUUGACCUUGGUGGCGAGAAUAGCUAUUUGUGCGGAUAGGUCAGUGGAUAAUGACUCCACCUUAGCCAGCACAGUGUUAAUGAUAGCCACCAUUACCAUGGCUCGGUCGGGGGGAUCAGAGUCCGUGACAGCAUCAGUGGGGAGCCAUCCGUUCCUGACAGAGCUGAGCUGAAGCUGCCAAGGCCCUGUUGAGUGGACUUUGACCUUGGCCUGACCUAUCUCCUCUAGAGUGGAACCCCACUGUGAACCUCCUGGCUGGAAUUGCCCUGACCUUUUUGCACUUGACCCUUCGGCCUGUAUGGACUACUGCGCUAUAGGCUACAGUGCACGUGCUUAUUAGAUCAUAAAUAAAAGUGAGAAAAAUAAAAUAAAAAUAAUAAA